CCCCUAGAUGUUCUGGGCCGCACGCGCGCUACACUGAACAGUUCAACAAGUCUUAACCUUGGCCGAUAGGUCUGGGUAAUCUUUGAACGCUGCUCGUGAUUGGGAUGGACCUUUGCAAUUAUGGGUCUUCAACGAGGAAUUCCUAGUAAACGCAAGUCAUCAGCUUGCAUUGAUUACGUCCCUGCCCUUUGUACACACCGCCCGUCGCACCUACCGAUUGAAUGGUCCGGUGAAAUCUCGGGACGGCGGCUUGGUUGCUUGCGUCCGACUGCUGAAACUUGAUUAAACCAUAUCAUUUAGAGGAAGGUGAAGUCGUAACA
rnacentral:rRNA from 1 species